GCGCCCGUAGCUCAGCUGGAUAGAGCGUUGCCCUCCGAAGGCAAAGGUCACACGUUCGAAUCGUGUCGGGCGCG
rfam:Bosea thiooxidans strain CGMCC 9174 V5_67, whole genome shotgun sequence.